ACGCUCGACACCUACGGGAGACAGCAGUGAGGAAUAUUGGUCAAUGGACGCAAGUCUGAACCAGCCAUGCCGCGUGCAGGAUGACGGCUCUAUGAGUUGUAAACUGCUUUUGUACGAGGGUAAACGCAGAUACGUGUAUCUGUCUGAAAGUAUCGUACGAAUAAGGAUCGGCUAACUCCGUGCUAGCAGCCGCGGUAAUCUGAGCGGGCUGGCAAGGC
rnacentral:rRNA from 1 species